GCCCUCCAGGGGCUCAGCCUUCAGAGGACUCAGCCUCGAGCCUGGCAUGUUCUGUGUGAUCUAUGUGCAUCCAUCCUGCCUCCCUGACUUCAAGAGAAGAC